AUGAAGGAAGAGGACCCUCAGCAGAGCCUGCUUCCCAGCCUGGGAGGGAGAGAGAGCCAAAUUAGGAAGAGGGGGAGCAGUCACACUGAGCCAAGAGCCCUGCCACUGUCACAGGGGCUCCAGGGACCUCGGGGAGGGGAGGGGAGGUGCUUGCUGAGAAAGCCCAGAUCAUCUCUCCUUGAACUUGCAAACUCUAGGAGCCCAGAGGCCCGUGCCACCACGUCUUUCUGCCCCAGCCCACCCCGGCCGCCUUCCUGUUCCCCCACCUUGCCAGGCGUCCUGUGGUUUCCACAGUGUCCUGUGCAAGGUUUGGCCUGUGUCUGGUGUGUGCCUGCAGACCCCUCCCUGGGGCCCGCCUGCACCCACGACACAGCUGGCUCCCCCCCACUCCAGAACAAGCAGCGAAGGUCCGCUCUGGGCACGUUCCCCACCCCCUCCCUGCUCACGGCAAGGAAGUCAGGAAGCCAGGCAGUCACACCCACGACACAGCUGGCUCCCCCCCACUCCAGAACAAGCAGCGAAGGUCCGCUCUGGGCACGUUCCCCACCCCCUCCCUGCUCACGGCAAGGAAGUCAGGAAGCCAGGCAGUCACACCCAGUGUUUCUUUAAAGACCUUUGUUUUGGGACCAAGGAAUAACUUUGCAAUAGCAAACAAAGCCCAGGCAAAUUUGAGAAAAGGUGAUGUUUUCCCAGGGGACACAGUAACAGUCGAACUUUGCCUGAGAGUGAUUGAAAGGCCACUAGGUCAAGCAGCCGUGAGCUAUGGCUGUUGGGAGGCAACCACAGGCGAUGAACCCCAGUUAUGGCCUGAGGUCUAGCCCCUGGCUCACUGAGCAGGUGCCGGCGGCUAGGGAGAAGGAAGCAUUUAAGAGGCUGUGGCACCUGAGUCCAGUGACACUGAGGCGCAGUCCGUCUUCCUGAGUCCCAUGGCCUGGGCCGUGUGCAAGGCAGUUUGAGCAUGCGAGUAAUGCCUAGACCCCAUGUUUAAAACACGAGGGAGCCCUUUCCGGACAAUCAGGAAUCAUUCGGGCUUCAUUUGCCCCGUGCUCAUUUAACUUUUCGGAUGCCAGUGCACUCAGAGAGGACGAGCAAGAGCACACGAGCCCCAGAAGGGGCGGACUGCAGCUCCUGUGGGCCCUGCUGCCUUCUGGCUCCCUGGUUUACAGGUCCGAGGAGGACACGGGCUAGAACCUCGAUCGAUCUCUUUGCCAGGAAGGUGCAGAAUAGAGAGGAGCAGCUGUCGGCCAAACCCUGCCGGAUGGAAGCCACACUCCGGCAGGGGUCACAAACACCAACAUGGUUGGUGUAAGACAGUGGGGAAUGGUGGGGACUGUGGUCUGCUGGCAUGCGUGUGGCCCAUCUCUAGGCAGCCUCGUGGCUGCAGCCUGUCUUUGCACAUGAGCCUGCAGAAUCUUCCAAUUUGGUAAAGGAAGGCCAGGUUUUCAAAGAAAAUUUUAUUUUUAAGUGUCAGCAGUGAUUUUUUUGUUUUGGGGGGUUUUUUUUGGUUUUGAGUGUGGGCAAAGAGAAAUUCUACAGUUCAUCCUGCACAAGGCAUGAGCCACCAGUAGGAAGGGGCAAAAAUUAUAGCUCAUCUCGCUGAUCGCUCUGGAGGGAACACCGUCCUCUUACCAGUCAUCCCAUCCCGGAGAGACAGUCCCACGGAGAAGUGUCCCAGAAGAACUGGCUGCUGAGGCUGUCCGGGUCCCAAGAUGGUGCUUAAAAAAAGAAUUUGGAGACCUGACCUAAGGAGGCCCACACCUUCCAGAAUUCCAGCCUGCCCAGGUGGAGGUGACGAGGGAGGGCAGGGUCUGGGGAGGGAGGGGUGUGUCCAACAGCCCCGCGCUCUCCAGGUCCCGUUGGAGCUGUGCUGGCUCACGGCCGCCCCUGCCCACGGGGCUACCAAGGCGCUACCUCACUGUGUCCCCCGAGUAGUUCACCUGGGGGGUAAUUAGGGGUCCCAGAUGUGCUGGAGCUGAAUGUACAAUCUAUGCAAAUUUCUCUCCCUCUCUCCAUUUCCCUCUCUGUGUCUGUUUCUCAGAAGUUUGGUUUUUUGUUUUACCUUGCAAACAAGGUACUGUAUAGACCCCUCUGAAGACCGGGGAGGGCUUCCAUGCGCCACCUGUGUCCGCCCCUCACGUUGUCUUUGGUUCCGGCCCGGCCCCACGCAGGGAGAAAGCAGCCCUCCCUGCCCCUCCCCCCCUCCUCGGGCUGGGAACACUCCGACUGCCUCUGCCCACCCUCCCACCAGAGCCCCCAGGAAAGCAGGUUCUGCCUCCUGCACCCCCGUCCUACACACCAUCUCUGCUCCACCCCUCAUCUCCCACUUCUCCCCUGCUCCCCCCCAUCACCACCCCCAAAAGCCUUAGGUUUCUCCUUUAUGAAAUGUGGCCUUAACAUUAUUUUUGGAAAGCUGACUGCCCUCUCCUUCCGACUUCCACCAACAUCUGAGAAGAAAGAGCACCUCGAAGCUUCCGUGGCAACCCCUCAGCCAGGGGCUGCCACUCUGUAGUCUGCAGAGCGACAAAAAGGCUUCUGCGUGUCAUCUUUAUGAAAAAUCUCCUCUCCUUAUUCCUCUGGGUAAAAUGAAGGCUCGGGUGCUGCACGCCGUCUGGGCGCAUGGCCGAGGCACCGGGCCGGCUUCCGCCCUCCCUCUCCCCUCCCAGACUUAGUGACUUGAUGUACUUCAUCCAAGGGUAAUCAGGAGAGUUUCUCAGUUUCUCUCUGUCCUUCCUGCCUGGAAAGGGAGAGCGUCCCGUAUUCCCAGCGGACGGGUCGUGUUCUCAACAGGAUCACACACCCGACUCCUGUCGCUCCAGGUCCCGUUGGAGGCCAAAGACAACCCCCCAGGGUUUUCAUAGGAAAUUCACUGGAAUUGAGCGCAACCGUCCUUAGAGUCCUUUCUCCGUCUUCUUUUGGUUUUUAAUAUUAUGUUGUCAAUAGCGUUUGUUUUGGGUAUUUUUUUUUUAGAGGCCUCACGAUAAGUUAUUACUGUCCCCCAUUUUUUUUCAAAGACAUGUGGUGAUAUAGUUUUUAAAAAUAACUAUUUUGUUAUAGAUCAUGAUAUGCAUAAAACUGUACAGAAAUAUUUUGUAAUGUAUUGAUUUAAAAAAUCUGUAAAUAAAGUUUAAAAAAAAAGGAUUCCAGUGGCACACACUGAAAGAUGUAGAUAUUUUGCUAUUUAUUGAAAGGAGUAUUUUAAGAGAGAUUGAACUAUCUGAAAUUGACCAGUCAUCCGAAUUCCGACCAUACAAAUGCUUUUCCUCGAGGUAGACAGUGAUUCUUGGAAACGAUUGCACUACCCGCCCAUUUUUGCACCUUUUCUGUAUCUUCGUUUAGCAGAAAAACAACGAAAUUGUGCCUUAGCUGUAUUUUUUUGUCUAGGGUAGUUUGUUUCUGUCUGACAAAGCAAAAUUUUUUGCAGAAAACAGUGGAUGUAUUAAAUACUGUAUCAUACCAAAAACACUGCAGGUGUGCAUAGAUGCUUUCUGUCAUACUGUGUUUUCAGAUGCAGAAUUUUAAAAUUAAAAAAAAAAAACAUACUGUCUUUCUGGAACAGUGGCUGUAUGGCUUCCCUUCAGCAGCAUCCUGCAUCUUUACCCAAUCCAGUACUCUCUGCCUUCCUCUGCUGGGUGAUUACAGACUCUGUCAUCCGAACAGGGAUGGAAUCCCCAGACCCCAGGAUUGAGCUGGGCCGCUCUUGGGAAAGCCUGGAUGUGUAGACGUACUCCCUGACCCAGCCUGCUGUCCUCUCCCAGUGACAUUACUGCAACACCCUCCUGCACACGAUUCCCCUGGCUGAGGUAGAAUUGUAUGGUUUCACGCCCUUUGGAAAGUCAAGGACAGCCAGGAAGCGCUGCCAUUUGAAGUGGCAAACGGUUCUCUCUCCCCAGCUCGCUCGUUGUGUAGCCAACGAGUUUCCUCCUCUCCACACAGCCAGACCACGUUUCCCAGAUUUCCUCGUGCCUAGAUGUGGCUUUGUGGCCAAUUUCUGGCCCACGAAACGUGGGAAGGGGUGCAGGGCACUACCAGACCUGGCCCAGAAAACUUCCAGCACAGAUGUUUUGUGUCAUCUUGGUUUGGGGCAUUCCUGACUCGCUCUGCUCUAUUCUUGGAAACCUCACGAAACUCCCAGUUUCAAGGUGGGCAGAGCCACAGUAGGUAAGGAGCCAGGCCCCUGGUUAGUCACAUGGAAGGCCACCUGACCAGCCAUUCCUGACUGGUGACUGCAACAUGAAACGUUGCGUGUGACGCCACUGAGAAUUUGCGUUCUGGCAGCCUUACCUUAACUCCUCGCUCAUCCAGAAAUGGCACCUCAGAUGUUCCUCUGCAAAAUCCGAAUCUCAGCCUCUUCGUUCUACAAGUAAAAGAGACUCCGGUGGGUGAAGUGAUUGGCUUGAAGCUACCAAAAUAGGAGAUACUAGCAUCAUAGUCAGAACCAGAGCCAAGGUUCCCUACGCCCCAGUGAGAGCUUCUCAAGUCUUUAGGAGGAAUGCUUUCCAUCCCUGGGUUGGCCUCGUUGCCAUGUUCACAUGUGGCUCAUGCAGGCCACGGACAGACUGAAAGUGCCCGAGGGCCUGGAUCGCAGAGAUACUGUUAAUUCACCCUUCAACAUCCUUAAAGGCAGAGGGUGCCCCUGAGACCCAGAUG
ensembl:lncRNA